rnacentral:lncRNA from 1 species
UUAUAAAGUAGGAGAUGAAGAAAUGAAGACAAAUUAGCCGGGUGUGUUGGCGGGCACCUGUAAUCCCAGCUACUUGGGCGGUCUCUAAUUUGGCUCUCACUUAGAUCACAUGUCCUGCCCUAAACCAAUCACUUUGCUUGAGGUGGGGGAUGGAAUACACUGAUUGGGCAAGUUUAAGUCACAGAACUCACCCCCGCAACUGGGAGGCGGAGCCAGCCCCAGCAAACUGCUUGCUGGACAGUAGGAGACAAGUGGUUCUGCAGACAAUCUGGGGUGAGGGAAGGGCAGUUGCCAGAAUUCUGAAGGGGUAAUGGGUGCUGG